rnacentral:rRNA from 1 species
UACAGAGGGUGCAAGCGUUAAUCGGAGUUACUGGGCGUAAAGGGCGCGUAGGCGGUGAUAUGAGUGUGAUGUGAAAGCCCCGGGCUUAACCUGGGAAGUGCAUCGCAAACGAUAUGACUAGAGUAUAUGAGAGGGUGGCGGAAUUUCCGGUGUAGCGGUGAAAUGCGUAGAGAUCGGAAGGAACGUCAAUGGCGAAGGCAGCCACCUGGCAUAAUACUGACGCUGAGGCGCGAAAGCUAGGGGAGCAAACAGG